rnacentral:lncRNA from 1 species
GGUUUGGUUAGGCUUGGUUGAGUUUGUAAGAAAAGAUAGUAGGUUGAGGGGCUUCAUUGAUUAGUAAACCUACGGUGCUGGUAAGGUCGGGACCGUGGUCGUCCGUCUCCGCUUUGCCGGCCGAUAAGAUCACUGAGAUUGACCAGCCAGCUGGGUAGGUUUGGCUAUUCCUUUCUAUUGAAAAGGAGUCAGCUGUCUGCGCGAGUCACCUUCCUUAGGCUCCGAGUCACCUUCUUCUAAGCUCCGCUGGACGACACGGCAU